ensembl:lncRNA
ACAUGGAGAGACAGUCAACACCGCCCACAUGGAGAGAGACAGUCAACACCUUCCCCACAUGGAGAGACAGUCAACACCGCCCACAUGGAGAGAGACAGUCAACACCUCCCCCACAUGGAGAGACAGUCAACACUGCCUCCUGCAUGGAGAGAGACAGUCAACACCGGCCACAUGAAGAGACCGUCAACACCAGCCACAUGAAGAGACCGUCAACACCGCCCACAUGGAGAGACCGUCAACACUGCCUCCCACAUUGAGAGAUCGUCAACACCUCCCCCAUGAAGAGGGCGUCAACACCGCCCACACGGAGACAGAGUCAACACCUCCCUCAGGGAGAGAGACAGUCAACACUGCCCACAUGGAGAGACAGUCAACACCUCCCUCAGGGAGAGACAGUCAACACCUCACCCGCAUGGAGAGACCCGCAUAGAGAGAGACAGUCAAUACUGCACACAUGGAGAGACAGUCAACGCCACCCCCACGGAGAGGCCGUCAUUACCGCCCACAUGGAGAGACCGUCAACCCCUGCCCCACAUGGAGAGACCAUCAACACUGCCCACAUGGAGAGACCAUCAACACCGCCCACAUGGAGAGACCAUCAACACCGCCCACAUGGAGAGAGACUGUCAACCUCUGCCCCACAUGGAGAAACCAUCAACACCGCCCACAUUGAGAGACCGCCAACACAGUCAACACCGCCCACAUGGAGCGAUACCGCCGUCUGGUCGUGUGAGGCGGGCCCCUGGGCUCUGGUCAUGAGGCCCCUGGGCUCUGGUCGUGAGGCCCCUUGGUCCCUGGUCAUGAGGCCCCUGGGCUCUGGGCGUGAGGCCCCUGGGCUCUGGUCGUGAGGCCCCUGGUCUCUGGUCGUGUGGCCCCUGGACUCUGGUGGUGUGAUGGAGCGUUUGGACACCCAGGUCAGUGGGACCGGCCCCGUCACCCGAUCCCCCCGCGGGCCCCAGACCGGCGGGAAGGGCCCCGGGCUGCCAGGGCCUCAUGAAAACCACACCGGUAACCAGAGUCUGGCUGCGUGGUCAGGUGUGAAACAAAUCAGCCCGGGGCCCCCGGCGGAGCGACCCAGAGGAACACGCUGCGCCCUCCGGGUGGGACUGACGGGUCAGUAGUCGGUCUCUGUGAGGGGGUCCAGCUCCGUGGCUCGGGGGUCCGGGUCGCGGGGGUCCGGGUCGCGGGGGUCCGGGUCUCGGGGGUCCGGGUCUGAGGGGUCCUCCAGCGGUCGGGACCGCCCCGGUCUGUUGGUGUAGAUGUCGUCCAGCGGCAGGAGGAACGUGACCGUCUUCACUUUGGCCCUGCACGAACAAAAUGAUGCUUUAAUCGAUUGUCUUUAUUUUAUCCUUCUCCUGGAUAGUCCAAAACAAGGCAAUCAGAAAAACUUCCUACACUACAAAAGAGUUGCAUUCAAAUAUAAUAAUAUAAUAAUCAAUAUAACUAAAUCCAUCGUAUCUGAAUCCCUACCGGCUCUUAUGGACUAAGUCCUGCAGGGUCUGCUUCUUGCUCCGCGUGGCGGUGGAUCCCGGGUGGAGUUCCUCCUGCAGUCUCCCCCAGCCAGACCCGCUCUUCCUUGAGGAGGUGCUACUCCCCUCUGCUCCGCUGCCCCCGGACAGCAGUUUCCCUACGGCGAGAAAACGUCGCCUACCUUGGUACUGAACAUCCAGAGCGGGCGCUGACGCGUUGCGUCUCAGGUUGGCGUAAGGGUUCUCCAGUGCCGCGGGUUUCGGUCUCUCUCUUGGCGGCCCCGGAAAGUCUCCGAACGAGUCCUCCCGACGUCCCCGCUUAUCGCCGUCCAGGUUCUGGAUAUCGUCCUGCAUCUCCAUGAUGACCUGCGCCAGGCUGCGGCUGGUCUCCAUGGUGCCGCUGCUCCGGUGCCAGAACCAGGGCUUCCCGAACACCGGCGGGACGUCCGGCAGGAGGAGGUCGCUGCGCCGCCGGGGUUUUAACAUGUUGCGUCGUCCCUGCUCCAGGCUCCUGCCGAGGCUCCUUAUGUGUGUGUGUGUGUGUGUGUGUGUGUGUGUGUGUGUGUGUGUGUG